rnacentral:rRNA from 1 species
UACGUAGGGUGCGAGCGUUAAUCGGAAUUACUGGGCGUAAAGCGUGCGCAGGCGGUUCUGAAAGUCAGCUGUGAAAUCCCCGGGCUCAACCUGGGAAUGGCGAUGAAGACUGCAAGGCUAGAAUCUGGCAGAGGGGGGUAGAAUUCCACGUGUAGCAGUGAAAUGCGUAGAGAUGUGGAGGAACACCGAUGGCGAAGGCAGCCCCCUGGGUCAAGAUUGACGCUCAUGCACGAAAGGCGUGGGGAGCAAACGAGG